CCUACGGGUGGCAGCAGUGGGGAAUAUUGCACAAUGGGGGAAACCCUGAUGCAGCGACGCCGCGUGAGUGAAGAAGUAUUUCGGUACGUAAAGCUCUAUCAGCAGGGAAGAAAAUGACGGUACCUGACUAAGAAGCCCCGGCUAACUACGUACCAGCAGCCGCGGUAAUACGUAGGGGGCAAGCGUUAUCCGGAUUUACUGGGUGUAAAGGGAGCGUAGACGGCAGCGCAAGUCUGGAGUGAAAUCCCAUGGCUUAACCAUGGAACUGCUUUGGAAACUGUGCAGCUAGAGUGCAGGAGAGGUAAGCGGAAUUCCUAGGGUAGCGGGGAAAUGGGUAGAUAUUAGGAGGAACACCAGUGGCGAAGGCGGCUGACUGGACUGUAACUGACGUUGAGGCUCGAAAGCGUGGGGAGCAAACAGGAUUAGAUACCCCAGUAGUC
rnacentral:rRNA from 1 species